UAAAAACCCGUAUUUUAUGGAUCCGGAAAGCUAGGAGAUAUAAGGAAAAAGUGUUGAAAAGUUUGCUUUGGAAUAGACUUGCAAAGAACCGUAUUUUUGCUGGUCCGACCUGAGCUAGUCUAAUUUAAAAUGAGCAAUAAUAACGAUUUAGUUCUUCAAAUUCAAGAUACUGGCGACUUUAAAUUUCAAUUUCAAGAGUUAUGUUUGGCUGCCUCAAAUAAUAUUUGCCUGCUUUGAUGGCAUUGUUAAAUUAUCACAAGUCACUGAUCUAAGAUUGCGAUUGUGGAUUUUACUUGAUGUAGAUAAGCAAAAAGAUACUGCACGUCUGCAAGGAAGUCGCAUAAGGUAUUUUAUCAAAACUGGUGUACCCAAAGACAACAAUUUAUCUGUUCUAAAAGAAAGCCUGAAUACAACUCAUGGAAAGGCUGAUAGAACCACAGUUCCUGAUGCAAUAAUGCGAAAUCUCAAAGAGCAACUUGCAACAGUUUUUGCCAAUUACUCGUGGACGUGCGUCAGACGAAGUCUUAAUCAGAGCGGCCUAGAUAGGAAGACAAAAACGAAAGUAAUCAGCAAUGCAAUUGUGAUUCUGUAAUAAUGAUAUGUGAAAAAUUUUUUUUAUACA